CCUACGGGAGGCAGCAGUGAGGAAUAUUGGUCAAUGGGCGAGAGCCUGAACCAGCCAAGUCGCGUGAAGGAUGACGGCCCUACGGGUUGUAAACUUCUUUUGUCAGGGAACAAUUGGGUCCACGCGUGGGCUUAGCGAGAGUACCUGAAGAAAAAGCCUCGGCUAACUCCGUGCCAGCAGCCGCGGUAGUACGGAGGAUGCGAGGGUUAUCCGGAUUAAUUGGGUUAAAAGGGUGCGUAGGCGGAAUAUCAAGUCAGCGGUAAAAAUUCGGGGCUCAACCCCGUCGUGCCGUUGAAACUGAUGUUCUUGAGUGGGCGAGAAGUAUGCGGAAUUCGUGGUGUAGCGGUGAAAUGCUUAGAUAUCACGAAGAACUCCGAUUGCGAAGGCAGUUCACUGGACUGCAACUGACACUGAGGCUCGAAAGUGUGGGUAUCAAACAGGAUUAGAUACCCUAGUAGUC
rnacentral:rRNA from 1 species